CGCGAUUCGCCCUUCGGGGUGCAGCAGGCGCGAAAACUUUACAAUGCUGGCAACAGCGAUAAGGGGACCUCGAGUGCCAGGAUACAAUCUUGGCUGUCGCGAUGCCUAAAAAGCAUUGCAUAGCAAGGGCCGGGCAAGACCGGUGCCAGCCGCCGCGGUAACACCGGCGGCUCGAGUGGUAACCGCUAUUAUUGGGUCUAAAGGGUCUGUAGCCGGCCGGAUAAGUCUUUUGGGAAAUCCAGCUGCUCAACAGUUGGGCUUUCAGAAGAUACUGUUCGGCUCGAGACCGGGAGAGGUGAGAGGUACUUCAGGGGUAGGGGUGAAAUCUUGUAAUCCUUGAAGGACCACCAGUGGCGAAGGCGUCUCACCAGAACGGAUCUGACGGCAAGGGACGAAAGCUAGGGGCACGAACCGGAUUAGAUACCCGGGUAGUCCUAGCCGUAAACGAUACUCGCUAGGUGUCAGCCACGGUGCGACCGUGGUUGGUGCCGUAGGGAAGCCGUGAAGCGAGCCACCUGGGAAGUACGGCCGCAAGGCUGAAACUUAAAGGAAUUGGCGGGGAGCAC
rnacentral:rRNA from 1 species